UACGUAGGGGGCAAGCGUUGUCCGGAAUCAUUGGGCGUAAAGCGCGUGUAGGCGGCCCGAUAAGUCCGCUGUGAAAGUCCAGGGCUCAACCCUGGGAUGCCGGUGGAUACUGUCGGGCUCGAGUCCGGAAGAGGCGAGUGGAAUUCCUGGUGUAGCGGUGAAAUGCGCAGAUAUCAGGAGGAACACCAAUGGCGAAGGCAGCUCGCUGGGACGUGACUGACGCUGAGACACGAAAGCGUGGGUAGCAAACAGG
rnacentral:rRNA from 1 species